ACAAAGACUGAAGCAGAAUUAUUCGUCAAUUUCUUAAAGAAGCUUGCUGGGAUUUUAACUGAGAUUGCAAUGUGUCUAUAGAUCAAUUUGGGGAGCAUUUAACCUUAAAAAUAUCAUGACUUCCAAUAUGUCUUUGUGUGGACCCAAGUUUGAAGUUUAUUUGGGAAACUACCAAAGAGCGUGAUUGC